UACGGAGGGGGCAAGCGUUAUUCGGAAUUAUUGGGCGUAAAGGGCGCGUAGGCGGCUAGAUGUGUCAAAGGUGAAAUCCCUCGGCUCAACUGAGGAACUGCCUUUGAAACUGUCUGGCUUGAGGCCGGGAGAGGGUAGCGGAAUUCCCAGUGUAGCGGUGAAAUGCGUAGAUAUUGGGAGGAACACCAGUGGCGGAGGCGGCUACCUGGACCGGUUCUGACGCUGAGGCGCGAAAGCGUGGGUAGCAAACAGG
rnacentral:rRNA from 1 species